rnacentral:lncRNA from 1 species
AAAAACUAAAACUAGUAAUAAAAUAUAAUUAAAACAAAUAAAUAACAGUUACGUAAAUCUAAAUAAAACUACCUAAUAAAACUACGUAAACUAAUCCUAAAAUAAAAUAUAAUAAAACAAAACAAAAUCAAAACAGAAUAAAAUAAAAAUAAACUAAAAUAAAUAACGUAAAGAAAAGAAAAGAAAAUAAUAUAAAAACAAUAACUUUU